ACCUGGCCGGCUCAGUCGGUGGAGCAUGUGGCUUUUGAUCUCAGGUCUGUUUGUGGGUUUGAGCCCCAUGUUGGGUG
rnacentral:tRNA from 1 species